rnacentral:misc_RNA from 1 species
GAUGAAGAACGUAGCAAAAUGCGAUAAGUAAUGUGAAUUGCAGAAUUCAGUGAAUCAUCAAAUCUUUGAACGCACAUUGCGCCCGCCAGUAUUCUGGCGGGCAUGCCUGUUCGAGCGUCAUUUCAACCCUCAAGCUCAGCUUGGUGUUGGGACUCGCGGUAACCCGCGUUCCCCAAAUCGAUUGGCGGUCACGUCGAGCUUCCAUAGCGUAGUAAUCAUACACCUCGUUACUGGUAAUCGUCGCGGCCACGCCGUAAAACCCCAACUUCUGAAUGUUGACCUCGGAUCAGGUAGGAAUACCCGCUGAACUUAAGCAUAUCAAUAAGCGGAGGA